GAGGCAGACAUGUGAGAAGAAGCUUUAAAGUACACGUCUGUAUUCUGUGCAGUGGUACGUAUAUUCAGUAGGGUCUCACCCUACACAUACAGUUUUGCAGCCUAUCCAAAAGGAGAUUAAGGCAUUUGUCAGAGCAACAGUUUAUUCCCCAUCUGCUGGUGGACCUGGAAGAGGCUGAGCCAAAGAGAGGAGGAGGAGGGAGAAGGGAAGCAGGAAGCGGAUACCAGGACUGCAGAUCUAUCAUGGGGGAAGGAACAGAUCCUUUAUUGGUGCAGCAGUGUCUGGGACUAGGAAAUAGGCCCAAAAGGUCAGACAAGUUUUGAGUGUCCAGAGUAACUGCAGUAGCCCUGGGUGCUGGAGAAUUGGCCCUGGAGCACGUGCAGAGAAGGACAAUGAAUCUGGUGAAUGGCUUGGAGCACAAGUCUGAUGAGGAGCAGCUGAGGGAACUGAGAUUGUUCAAUCUGAAGAAGAGGAGACUCAGGGGAGACCUCAUUGCACUCCUCAGACACCUGAAAGGAGGUUACAGCAAGGUUCAUGUUCAUCAUUUAUAGCUUGACUGCAAGAGGUGACCCGUGCCAGAUGCUGCAGAACAAGGACUGGACAAUUUUAGAACAUCCUGGACAAGAAGAAAGAUUUCUCCCAGUAUUAGGUUGAAAUGCAAGUUUGGCCUAGCUUCUGAAAUGCAUGGGGGAAAAAGAAGGGAGAGGCUGUACUUCAUAAAUUCUCCUUCAUGUGGAUCUGAAACUGAGAUAUUUCUUUCCCACAUGAAUGCACAGCUAUUUUCCCUCCUUUUAAAAAUGAUCAUUAAAAAAAAAAAUAUUGUGAAACAAAGGUUUUUGGUCAUUAAAAGGACAGAAAAAGCUCUGUUGUGACUGCUGGCAAAAACUGGGCUGCAGCUAAUGCUGAGCAGUCAGCUCCCAGUUAUCCUGGUCAUCUGCUUUCUUACAGCUCCUCAGAGCGCUCCUCAUAUGGGAAUAUCUGUUUUUUUCAGUCAUAACUGUUAUUGCCUGGCCCUGAGGGAGUUGAGUAAAUUAAUUGAAUUGCUCAAUUUUAUUUACUUUGUUUCUCUUUUUUAAAGCAAAACAGCCCAUAUUUCAAAAUCCCUUUGUAAUGGAUUAAAACACGAAAGAGUCCCUCGAAGUCCAUACAAACAUGCCAAAUCAAUUACAGCAUAAUUAGCCAGAACUGUUAUUUGUUGAAAUCCUGUCAGCAAAAAUAACUUGCCAUUCCCCUUCAAAUUGCUCCAUCAUCUUCAUUUUCUUGACAAAGAUUUUGAAAGUAAGACCACCGACCCUCCAGACUGAAGGAAGGGAAUUAAAUACAGAUGUUCUAAGCAUUAUAAACCAAGGAAUGUUGGAAAAUGGUGGAAAAAGAGAGGACAAAGCUGGCCUGAGUGAACUGUGGCUGCCCUCCCAGGGCAGGAUGGGAGCCUUGGGCGGGCAGGCAGGCAGCACUCAUGGGGCAGGCUGGACCCUGUUUGCCCUGGUGUGAUGCUGCAAGCUGCUGCCCCUGAUUUAAGCCAGCACAGACAGAAGGAGGCCCACUUCUGGCAAGCUUUAUCUGCAAUUCAUUUAGGAAGGAGGCAGGUCCUCUCUUCAGACCUAAUUGGAAACAGGCAGCCUUCUCCUAAUUGUGUGCUCUAACUGGUUCAUGUGCAUUAGCAAAGGAAAUUGUAGAGGAACAGGGUUCUGAGUUGUCAUUAAUUUCCUGGACUGGAAAGUCCAUACAUUGGGAACAUCGGCUGUUUAUACAUACAUCUUUCACACUGUUCUGCUCCUUUGUGUAGAAGCUUGACCCCAGCUGAAAGCAUCAUGACUUUUUUUUUCUGCUCAAAUUCUAAACAAGUAUGUAGAAAGUCAGUGAGUUUCCGAAGGGGUUCCUCAUAACCUGCUUUACUUUAAUUAAAAAACAAAAUCAAAACAACAAAAACUUAAUGUCAAAAGACAGCUGCUAAAUUCAUUUUUACAUUCCUCCAAAAUACCUUUUAAUGUUUGAUUGUGUCCACCUGCAGGGAAUGCUGUAAGAAAGUGGUCUGUUUCAGUUAAAAUGAUGCAAAAAUAUCCAUUUGUGGCAGCUGAAGCAAAAGGUGGCUUCUAGGGCUACCAUUUUCCUCUGGGCAGGGUGGUGGUUGUGGUGGUAGUGGGUAAAAAUGUUGGCUCUGCCUUUGUGCCAAAGGCACCUGGCUACCCAGUAAAGCCUUCAUGGGAAAGCUUUGCUGAGGUGGCUGCUCUGUCCUAACUCAGGUCAAACUUGGAACAUUUGAACCGAUGUGAAUGCACAAGUCAAAUGUUCACGUUCUUAAUGUGCGUCCUGUAGCUCCUUUAGUAUCAACCCUCUCUUAAGUUAAGCCUUCAAGGUGUUUGGGCAUUGCUUUACUGGAACUUGAAGCUGGUUCCACGCAUCCUGAAGCCUUUGGAGACUUCAGAACCUGGUGCAACCAGUCUGGAAGGAUACCAAGCCAAAGGAGCUGAUCCCAGCAACUCCUGCGCAUAGUCCUGCAUUGCAGACUGUGGUGUAUGGAGGUCUGUGGGACACCCUGCUGCAUUUCCUACUUUUCUACAAUGCAAGACACCAGAGUUCAGAUCCACAUAUGGAGCAAAGCUGUGUUUGUUUAUAUACCUACUCAAUAAAAGCUGUUACUGGGAACCCAGCUGUGUCUUUAUGAUUUCCUCACGCUACUAACGAGAAAGAUUUCCUUAACAGUAUGCUAUUAAUUGUCAUCCAGGCUGAAUGAAAAAUAAAUUCACAGUUCAUAGAUGGAAAUUGCACACACCUGAUUUAAAGAGAUGACAACAUGUGCUGUCCUUCAGACUUUAUGUACAGCUAGAGAAAGAUAUGAGGCUUUGCUGAAUUGUUCUAGUCUCUGUAUUGAAAAGAAAGAAGGCUGAAGAAGGAGAGUUCGGACUGACAGGGAAAGCUUUCUGGCUUGAAAUUGCGUAUGCUUAUUUCAUUAAGUGAAUAUUCAGUAGAUCUUCUUUUUAUCCAGUGAAAAUUUAAAUAACUUGGGUCCACAUCUCUUCUGUUUACGAUUUGAAGCCUUCAAUAAAUAGCCAACGGGAUGAGAACAAGAAAUCCUUUCUUCAUUUGGCAACUUUAAGAGGUUUACAUCCUACAAAGUCACAUGUGUUCUGAAUAUAGUUACAGUAAUAUAAUGCAAAAACAGCAAUAAAAC
rnacentral:lncRNA from 1 species